UAUUAAAAAUUUCAUGUAUUUCUACUAUUAAAAUAUGAUGUGACAGACAGAAUAACCAUACAGUUAGACAUGGCAUGCCAUGUGUACAUUAUGUUGACGUACAAGAACAACUUUUUAACAGUAAUAUACAUUAAAUUUUUAACA
rfam:Gossypium hirsutum cultivar TM-1 chromosome 9, whole genome shotgun sequence